UACGUAGGGUGCGAGCGUUGUCCGGAAUUACUGGGCGUAAAGAGCUCGUAGGUGGUUUGUCGCGUUGUUCGUGAAAACUCACAGCUCAACUGUGGGCGUGCGGGCGAUACGGGCAGACUGGAGUACUGCAGGGGAGACUGGAAUUCCUGGUGUAGCGGUGGAAUGCGCAGAUAUCAGGAGGAACACCGGUGGCGAAGGCGGCGCUCUGGGCCGGUACUGACGCUGAGGAGCGAAAGCGUGGGGAGCAAACAGG
rnacentral:rRNA from 1 species